rnacentral:tRNA from 2 species
UCCGUCGUAGUAUAGAUGGUUAGGAUACUCGGCUCUAACCCGAGACACCCGGGUUCGAGUCCCGGCGGCGGAG